GUGGCGGCUGUGGGGCUCGUGUGGGCCACUGACUGGCGGCUGAUCCUGGACUGGGUCCCCUACGUCAACGGCAAGUUUAAGAAGGACAGCUGAGCUGCCGUCCACCUGCCUCUGGUGCACCAGCGCCCGCGUCUGGGCCUCAGGACGGACCCGAGGACGUCCCCUGCACGGCUGGAGACUGUUCUGUCCCUGGGAAGGGCCUCGCUAUUCCCUGCGCCUUGCAUUAAACUCGCCUGUGCACCUGC